rnacentral:lncRNA from 1 species
CCCCAAGGCAGGAGAAAAAGUCCAGUUAACCCUGCCCAUCGCUCAAUGGCUCAAUCGCAUCGCUCUCCUGGCAACACCGUAAGGAGGAGCAACUUGCCAUUUGGAUAUAUCCUAGCUGUGUUUGUGCCCUCACUCAUGGUCCAGACUUUUUUCAAAUAGGACAUGUAGUUUGUCUGCAGCGACCGUUUUGGUAGAAACUGCGCCUCCCAUUCAUUAUAAUGGUAAAUGACCACAGACAAGUGCGCACACCAUCUUUGGACCUUGAGUGUGAUGCGAUCGGGAGGGGGAGGCGGUCGCGCUGGGGGCGGCGCGACGCGGCUCGGGCCCGACAGUGCCCCACAGGGGCCCUAGUUAGGGCCCGAGCGUAGCUGCUAAGCAGCUGCGAGAGCCCUCUUGUUCCUGAUGGAUUCUUCUUUCGUUAUUUUUCCUCCGCUUUAAACUGGAAAAUGGCCCACUUCCCACUGGCGAAAACUCAGGAAAUUUGGCAGGACGACCGGGCCUGGUGAAAAAUUCGAUAUUCUGAAGUUGCCCAUACAAAAAAAUGAAAAAUGGCUCCAUAGCGCCCCCUAUGGUGAAAACUCACCUGACGCCUGUACGCUUUGUCAAAAUGACACAAAAUUUGACACACAUGUGUAUCUCAAUAAGAUCUACAAAAAAGUCAGUGCGGGCGUAUCUGUCAAAUGUACGGUUAAAGGGCUAUUUCGCAUUUUUUGCCGAUCCGCACACAUUGGAAUUUCGCUAACUCCUCCGAAGGCUUUCGUUCCACCGGCAACAAAUUUGCUCAGGACAAUCUACACCCCAUGGCCAUUAAAAGUUGUACAAAUCAUGACGCUGCACCCCACGGUUUACAUUCUAGGGGGCGCCAAAGAUAACCCAAAAAUCCACAGUCUUAAAAGUCUUAUAACUUUUUAUUUUUGUCCUCACUGGCCUCCAAGUUUUCUAGGAUGAUGCAAUGUCCAGCCAUCAACACAUCUGUGAAGAAAUUUUUACUCCCCAAAAGAGCGCCCCCCCAUGGCAGGAGAAAAAAGUCAAUUUUUUCUUGUCCCCUAAGGUGAAAAUACACAUUGUUGAGUGUCAUGCCUGAACGCUUUGUCAUAUUGACACAAAAUUUGACACACACGUGUAUCUCAAUAAGAUCUACGAAAAAGUCAAAGAGCGCGUAUCUGUAUAAUGUACGGAUAAAGGGCUAUUUCGCAUUUUUUGCCGAUCCGCACACAUUGGAAUGUGGCUAACUCCUCCUAAGGCUUUCGUCCCACUGACACCAAAUUUGCUCAGGCCAAUCUACACCCCAUGGCCAUUAAAAGUUGUACAAAUCAUGACGCUGCACCCCACGGUUUAGGUUCUAGGGGGCGCCAAAGAUAACCCAAAAAUCCACAUUCUUAAAAGUCUUAUAACUUUUUAUUUUUGUCCUCACUGGCCUCCAAGUUUUCUAGGAUGAUGCAAUGUCCAGCCAUCAACACAUUUGUGAAGGAAUUUUUACUCCCCAAAAGAGCGCCCCCCCAUGGCAGGAGAAAAAAGUCCAUUUUUUCUUGUCCCAUAAGGUGAAAAUACACAUUGUUGAGUGUCACGCCUGUACGCUUUGUCAAAAUGACACAAAAUUUGACAAUCACGUGUAUCUCAAUAAGAUCUAUGAAAAAGUCAUGCGCAAAUAUCUGUAAAAUGUACGGUUAAAGGGCUAUUUUGCAUUUUUUGCCGAUUCGCACACAUUGGAAUGUGGCUAACUCCUCCUAAGGCUUUCGUCCCACUGACACCAGAUUUGCUCAGGCCAAUCUACACCCCAUGGCCAUUCAAAGUUGUAAAAAUCAUGACGCUGCACCCCACGGUUUACGUUCUAGGGGGUGCCAAAGAUGACCCAAAUAUCCACAUUCUUAAAAGAAUCCACAUCCCCCCCCCUCCCCCCAUGGCAGGAGAAAAAGUCAAGUUUUUCUUGCCCAUCGCUCGAUGGCUCAAUCGCAUCGCUCUCUCGGCAAAAGCGAAAGGAGGAGCAACUUGCCAUUUGGAUAUAUCCUAGCUGUGUUUGUGCCCUCACUCAUGGUCCAGACUUUUUUCAAAUAGGACAUGUAGUUUGUCUGCAGCGAGUGUUUUGGUAGAAACUGCGCCUCCCAUUCAUUAUAAUGGGAAAUGACCACAGACAAGUGCGCACUCCAUCUUUGGACCUAGAGUGUGACGCGAUCGGGAGGUGGAGGCGGUCGCGCUGGGGGCGGCGCGACGCGGCUCGGGCCCGACAGUGCCCCACCGGGGCCCUAGUUAUUAUUUUUCCUCCGCUUUAAACUGGAAAAUGGCCCACUUCCCACUGGCGAAAACUCAUGAAAUUUGGCAGGACGACCGGGCCUGGUGAAAAAUUCGAUAUUCUGAAGUCUCCCAAACAAGAAAAUGCAAAAUGGCUCAAUAGCGCCCCCAAAGGUGAAAAUUCACACUAUUGACUGUCACGCCUGUACGCUUUGUCAUAUUGACACAAAAAUUGACACACACAUGUAUCUCAAUAAGAUCUACAAAAAAGUCAGUGCGGGCGUAUCUGUCAAAUGUACGGUUAAAGGGUUAUUUCGCAUUUUUUGCCGUUCCGCACACAUUGGAAUUUCGCUAACUCCUCCGAAGGCUUUCGUUCCACCAGCACUACAUUUGCUCAGGCCAAUCUACACCCCAUGGCCAUUGAAAGUUGUACAAAUCAUGACGCUGCACCCCAUGGUUUACGUUCUAGGGGGCGCCAAAGAUAACCCACAAAUCCACAUUCUUAAAAAUCUUAUAACUUUUUAUUUUUGUCCUCAUUGGCCUCCAAGUUUUCUAGGAUGAUGCAAUGUCCAGCCAUCAACACAUUUGUGAAGGAAUUUUUACUCCCCAAAACAGCGCCCCCCCAUGGCAGGACAAAAAAGGCCAUUUUUUCUUGUCCCCUAAGGUGAA